rnacentral:rRNA from 1 species
CACGUAGGGUGCGAGCGUUGUCCGGAAUUAUUGGGCGUAAAGAGCUCGUAGGCGGUCCGGCACGUCGGAUGUGAAAUUCCAGGGCUCAACCCUGGACCUGCAUUCGAUACGGGCGGACUAGAGUUCGGUAGGGGAGACUGGAAUUCCUGGUGUAGCGGUGAAAUGCGCAGAUAUCAGGAGGAACACCGGUGGCGAAGGCGGGUCUCUGGGCCGAUACUGACGCUGAGGAGCGAAAGCGUGGGGAGCGAACAGG